AAAAAGAACCUGCAGGAGGCAUGCAAGUGGCUGAGAGGCACACUUACUGCCCCUUCAUGAUUCACCUCUGCACUCAUGUCAUGGGCACGCUCUUAAGAGCUGCUGGCGCCCCACAACUGACCAGGGUGGUGUACUGGAGCCAGGCCCUUUCUGCCUAAGCAGGACACUCAAAGAGGCAGUCUUUGCCCUGCAGCCCUCCACUGGCCCAGCCAACACUCUCUCAGAGCUUAGACAUCUGCUUCUCAGAGCACCCAAACUGACAGGGUGUAUCCAGUAUAUUUGAUUCUGAAGCUAGAGAGACCCAGCUGGCCAUACACAUUGGGGAAUCAUUGACAGAUGGCAGCUGAGAUCUGAGAGCGGUUGACCUCACUUCACAAGGUUGAGUGGAAUUAGGAGGGACAAACUUCUGUGACAGGAGCCUGAGGAGCACCAAACAGGAGAACCCAGCCCAUUUCACAGGAUGUUUAAUGUGUGCUCACAAAUAGAUUCCAUCAGCUCUCCUACGGCACCCAGGAGGUCAGCUGCCCCAUGGAGGAAGCAAGAUUUGUGUGCAUUAGAAAUAAAUGAACUGUUGGAGAUAGGAUCUUCUUUGUUGACAAAACAAGUCUUGAAGAUAAGAGAUCAAGGCUUCUAGUUAAAUGGAGCAGUGACCUUAUCAGAAAUCUCAAAGCAGAAAAGUCUGUCAGAAAAACAGCAUCAGAUCAAGGAAACCAAGUACAUGGAGCUAAUUUUUGACUCUAAAGAAAGGCAAGAUUAUUUAAUAAUAAUGAUAAUGGCACAGUUUGUUAACUAUGUGAAGAAAAUCAAAUAUAGCUUUAUCUCCAUUAUACAACCAAAUAUAUUCUACAUGGAUUAAAAUAUUAAAUGUAAAAGUUAAUCAAACCAAUAAGUCAAAAAAGAAAAAAAUAGAAAAAAUAUCCAUAAAAAUUUAUUGAAUUACAAAAUGGUCAUAAAAUAUAUUAGUUCAAAACAAUGGAAUAAUUCAUAAAGGAUGACUAUUAUAGAGAUUUUCCCGUAGAGAGUUCUAAAAUUUAUGUGACUCAAAAAAUGCCUUAUAUAAAACUAAUAUCAAAUAAAAAUUUUCAGAAAAUAUUUGCUUGCAUAAGGCAAAAGAGCUAAUAACCUUAAUGUAUAAAAGUUCCUUCAAACUAAGUACCAUCUCAGAAGAAAAAAAAUCUCAAAGUGGUAAUCAAAUAAUAAAAAUUGUAAUACCAGGUCUCGAUGACUUAGCUAGGUGUGGUGGUGCACACGCCUGUCGUCCCAGCUACUCGGGAGACUGAGGCAGAAGAAUCACUUGAACCCAGGAGGUGGAGUUUGCAGUGAGCCAAGAUCACGCCACUGCACUCCAGCCUGGGGACAGAGCGAGACUCUGUCAAAAAACAAAACAAAACAAAAUAAAACUUCCCUUAAUUCUGCAACAUUUCUGAUUAGACCAAGUAGCAUCAGGAAAGAUACAGAAGAACUUUCCCUCCUCCAACAGCUAAGUUCAACUAAAUUUCUGGACACUGUAUAUAUUUUAACCUCCCCCACCUAAAAUAAAAGAAAAAAAAGAGAAGACUUUGCAGUAUGGAGAAAAGGUAGACAAGCCAGGGACCUUGGUCUCAAAGAACAACAUGGUGGUGGGUUUCCUGGGUUUUCUUUUCCAUCAUAUAUCUCAGACUUGGAGAUGAAAAAUCAGCAAUCCAGAAACAACAUUGGAUGGAGAAAAAGCUGCAAUGAAAGAUUGCCAUCUCUAGCAAAGGAGCAGAAAAGGGGCAGACUAUCAAGGCAGAAAACUUUCAGGCUGUAACUGCUCUACUCCAACCACAUCCAGAAAACAAAACUAAACAAACAAACAAAAAAAACUUGUGGCCUCAUUUUCACUCAUGCUAACAAAGCCCAAGUGGGGAGUCUAAACUGCCACCCUCACAAAGCUGUAAAUAGGUGCCCGCAAUACCCCUACAGGAGUGGUGUCAGAGGACAUGGAAAAGGGAGCCAAAACUUUCAUUUCUGUUAGCCAGUAACAAGAGUCUACUGCAGUGUAAAUGGAGACCAUAUGGGGAACUUGGACUUUCAUGCUACCUGGCAGUGACGAGGCAGCCCUUCUUUCCCUGAUGGAAUGGCAUCAGAGGAUCCCAGUGGGAAGUGAGGACAUUCACUACCACUAAUUAGUAACAAGGCCACCACCACUAUGGUGUCAAUAGAGAUCACAUGGAGAGGCAGCACAAAUAUCUAUGCCCAGUAGUUAUUAAGACCUGCUUCUCUCAGCAGAGUCAGGUGUCAGUGGAGGAGAAGUGAAGGAUCUGGAAGUGAAUUCUACCUUCCAGUAGAAAGCUGUGUUGAGCCACUUUUCCCCCUUUCAAAGCAGUGCCUAAAAAAGCAGCUGGAGGAUAAAGUUUGAAUAAGAUCCAAAGACUCUUAACGUAAUAUGAAUGUGACCAGGUUUCAAUCAAAAAUUGCUUGUCAUACAAAUAACAAGGAAAAUUUCAAAAAGGAUAAAAAGUAAAUUCAUUAUAUGCCAAUAGUGAGAAGGCAGAGCUAUUAAAAUAAUCUGACAGAGAUUGUAGAGCAACUGUGGUAAAAAUACUUCAACAAUCAAAACAUGCUUGAAACAAAUUUAAAAAACAGAGUUUCAGCACAGAUAUAUAAGACACAAAGAAGAACCACUGGACAUUUUAGAACAGAAAAAUGUAAUAACUUAAGUGAAAGCUUAAUGGAUGAUAUCAACAGCAGAAUAGAAGAGACAGAAGAAGAAAACAGGUAGCUUUAAGAUAGAAGAAGAAAAAUCACAUAAUCUAAACAACAGAGAGGAUAAAGGAAAAGAAAAUGAACAGAGCCUCCAAGAUCUGUGGACUAUAACAAAAUAUCUAGCAAAGACCUGGAAGAAGAGAAAUAGAGUGGGUCUAAAAAUGUGCUCCAAGUACACAUGGUCACAAAGAUGAGAACAAUAGACACUGAGGACUACUUGGAGGGGGAGACUGGGAGGAGAGUGAGGGUCAUAAAACUACCGAUUGGGUAUCUUGCUCACUGCCUGGAUGAUGGAAUCAUUUGUACACCAAACCCCAGUACUACACUGCCCAUGUAACAAACCUGCACAUAUACACCCUGAAUCUAAAAUAAAAGUUGAAUAAAUACAUAAAUAUAUAAAAAAUAAAAAUGUACACCAAAAAAUAGCAUCUAAAAUCUACCAAUUUCAUUAGAGACAUAAACCUACAGAAUAUGAAUAAAUAUGAAUGAACCCUAAACAGGGUAAUCACAAAGAUAUUCACACCAAGUUCCCUUGUAAUUAAACAUCUGAGAACUAGAAACAAAGAAAAAAUUUUGAAAGCAAUCAGAGAAAAGACACUUGACCAAUACGAGAAAAGCAAUUAAAAUGACAGAUUUCUCAUCAGAAACCACAGAGGAGAGAUGGAAGUGGCACGAUAUUUUUCAGGUGUCAAAAGAAAAGAGCUCUCAACCUAGGCUGACAAUCCUCUACCCAGGAUGAAAUCCUAGUUUCACAAUUGCAUUAGUCCAUUCUCACAUUGCUAUAAAGAACUACCUGAGACUGGGUAAUUUAUGAAGAAAAGAGCUUUAAUUGGCUCAUAGUUCUGCAGGCUGUACAGGAGGUGUGACUCAGGAGGCCUCAGUAAACUUAGGAUCAAAGCAGAAGGCGAAGGGGAAGCAGACACAUCUUCAUAUGGCAGAACAGGAGAGAAAAAGAGUGAAGGGGAACGUGCCACACACUUUUAAACAACCAGAUCUUGUUAGAACUCUAUCACAAGACAGCACUGGGGGAUGGUGCGAAACCAUUGGAAACCACCCCCAUGAUUCAAUCACCUCCCACCAGGGCCCUCCUCCAACACUGCGGAUUACAAUUCAACAUGAGAUUUGGGUGGGAGACAGAAACAAACCAUAUCAACAAUCCUAUACCCUGAAUAUUCAAUCCUAUAACCAAAGUGAAAGGGAAAUCAUAAUAUUCUUAAGCUGAAGAAAAAGUAAGAUAAUUUACUAUCCUAUCCAAAAAGUAUACCUAAAGAAAGUUCUCUAAACAGAAGGAAAACAAAAGAAAGACACCAGGAAAGGAAGAAAACAGAAAAAAAUAAGAUAAAAGAUCUGCAGCUAUGGAAUUCUUCUCCAUGACAUUUUCACAGAACAUACUACUUGUGAUUUAUAUCAUGUCCUUACUCAAGGUAAGGAACUGCAAGUGAUCAAUAUUGCUGGAGCAAAAGGAAGAGAGAGAAGGCUGAAGAGACUGGUACAAGAUAGAUCACGGAAGAACAGGAUGAAUGUAAGAUGAGCCUGAAGAAAAUAAAGACCUGAUGGCGAGCUGGGGUUGGUCUACGAAGGCUUUAUAAUAACCUUUGAUUUCUUGAAGAAAAAAAAGAAAAUUGUGAUGGCUUGAUGUUGACAAAAGUUGGAAAAUAAACUUAUUUAUGCACUUGGCAACAUGUACUCUGCAAUUCUGCUGCCAGGUCCUGCCUGUUCAGAAAGGCUUGCUUUUAGGAUACAAAUUGCUACAAUCAAAGCCACUGAUGAGACAACUUCAACUCACCCCUUCCACGUUUUCCACAAUUAAAAUCAUGGAAACAUACGAAACUCUCUCAUUUCACUAUUUGCGCAGGCUGUUCAUCUUUCCUUCUUUAACUUCUUUGCUCCCUUUCCAGACAAUAUCUUUUACUUGCAUUGUACUUUUAGAACACUGUUUCUGACAUGAAUAACCUCCUUACAUUUCCCUUGAGGUAACAUUCCCUGGAAAAAAUACAGAAAGGGGCAAAGGCAUCUUGUCCAAAGGAAGUAUGGAAAGCCUCUUCCCGUUACCACCACAAUCCUCUACAUUACGUGCAAGGAGUCAGAGAAGGACAUAGUGGUAACAAAUUGAGUCAGUAUUUCCUCUGCCCUCCUGCCAGCUCAGAGUUCUGUAUGCUUUCAGAGCUGAUAUAUGGAGGAACAACACAAG
rnacentral:lncRNA from 1 species